CCAGCUUUUGCCUAGUAGUGAACAAUAAAUCUCGUUGGGGCCUCCAAAUGUUGCACCCAAGCGAAUUAGACAGAAAUGCCAUACUUUGAGAUUAACUUGGGAGUCCUUUAUUAG
rnacentral:pre_miRNA from 12 species